rnacentral:rRNA from 1 species
UACGGAGGGUGCGAGCGUUGUCCGGAAUCAUUGGGCGUAAAGGGCGCGUAGGUGGCGGGACAAGCGUGCGGUGAAAGCCUGGGGCUCAACCCCGGGUCGGCCGUGCGAACUGUUUUGCUUGAGCACUGUAGAGGCAGGCGGAAUUCCGGGUGUAGCGGUGGAAUGCGUAGAUAUCUGGAGGAACACCGGUGGCGAAGGCGGCAUCCUGGACCGACACUGACGCUGAGGAGCGAAAGCCAGGGGAGCAAACGGG